AAAUAUCUAGAGCUGCCAGGAUUCUGCAGAACUUAGUCUGGUUCUGCUGAGAAGGUGGAAGAGGUCCUGCAAAGCAUGGGAUGGAUAUGCACAAAAAAUCUCCAUGGCAUCAAAGCUGUUUGUCCUGUGAAUUUCAGGGAUUCUGCCAUUUUUUAAGAGUGCUGUAGUUCUACUGAAUGCUGAUGAGUCCACACCAAGCCCAAGCCCUGCCACUCACUAUUGACCAGCGAAGUUGGCACCAUAUCAGCAUUUAAUAC
rnacentral:lncRNA from 1 species